GGAUUGCUCAUAAACUGCUUCUGUAUUCCUUAACACGAGGUUAACUUGAACUUCAACAUUCUGCGUCAGUUUCGCCACUUGUUGGGUUUGAACAUCAAUCGAAGCCAAAGAAUCAUGUAUAAGAUGGAGUUGGUUUCAAGAUAAAACUCGAGAUAGAUCUUCCGCGCAUCCUCGUCCAAUUUUGUGAGGCAUUUCAACAUGCUAGAUUUUGCGUCACAAUGAGG